rnacentral:rRNA from 1 species
GGUUUAAACGACACUCGCCCUUAGAGUUUGAUUAUGGCUCAGGACGAACGCUGGCGGCGUGCCUAACACAUGCAAGUCGAGCGAAGAACUUAUCAAGAAACCUUCGGGCAGAUUGAUAAACUACUUAGCGGCGGAUGGGUGAGUAACGCGUGAGGAACCUGCCUUCCACAAGGGGAUAGCCUCGGGAAACCGGGAUUAAUACCCUAUGACACUUAAAAGUCACAUGACAAUGAAGUUAAAGCGUUAGCGGUGGAAGAUGGCCUCGCGUCCCAUUAGCUAGUUGGUGAGAUAACGGCUCACCAAGGCCACGAUGGGUAGCCGGCUUGAGAGAGUGACCGGCCACACUGGAACUGAGACACGGUCCAGACUCCUACGGGAGGCAGCAGUGGGGAAUAUUGCACAAUGGAGGGAACUCUGAUGCAGCGACGCCGCGUGAGCGAUGAAGGCCUUCGGGUCGUAAAGCUCUGUCCUAUGGGACGAUAAUGACGGUACCAUAGGAGGAAGCCCCGGCUAACUACGUGCCAGCAGCCGCGGUAAUACGUAGGGGGCGAGCGUUGUCCGGAAUUACUGGGCGUAAAGGGUACGCAGGCGGCCAUGUAAGUCAGAUGUGAAAGACUAAGGCUUAACCUUAGCAAGCAUUUGAAACUGCGUGGCUUGAGUUAAGGAGAGGAAAGUGGAAUUCCUGGUGUAGCGGUGAAAUGCGUAGAUAUCAGGAGGAAUACCAGUGGCGAAGGCGACUUUCUGGCCUUAAACUGACGCUGAGGUACGAAAGCGUGGGGAGCAAACAGGAUUAGAUACCCUGGUAGUCCACGCUGUAAACGAUGAGUGCUAGGUGUCGGGUGUCAAAGCUCGGUGCCGCAGUAAACACAUUAAGCACUCCGCCUGGGGAGUACGUUCGCAAGAAUGAAACUCAAAUGAAUUGACGGAAGGGCGAAUUCGCGC